rnacentral:rRNA from 1 species
GACAGAGGUGGCGAGCGUUGUUCGGAAUUACUGGGCUUAAAGGGCGAGUAGGCGGUGGAGUAAGUCUGAGGUGGAAUCCUAUGGCUUAACCAUAGAACUGCCUUAGAAACUGUUUUACUUGAGUCAGUGAGGGGAGGGCGGAAUUCCUGGUGUAGCGGUGAAAUGCGUAGAUAUCAGGAGGAAGGCCUGUGGCGAAGGCGGCCCUCUGGCACUGAACUGACGCUGAGGCGCGAAAGCGUGGGUAGCAAACAGG